rnacentral:rRNA from 1 species
UGGGCGCAAGCCUGAUCCAGCAAUGCCGCGUGCAGGAUGAAGGCCUUCGGGUUGUAAACUGCUUUUGUACGGAACGAAAAGCCCUGGGUUAAUACCCUGGGGUCAUGACGGUACCGUAAGAAUAAGCACCGGCUAACUACGUGCCAGCAGCCGCGGUAAUACGUAGGGUGCGAGCGUUAAUCGGAAUUACUGGGCGUAAAGCGUGCGCAGGCGGUUUUGUAAGACAGAGGUGAAAUCCCCGGGCUCAACCUGGGAACUGCCUUUGUGACUGCAAGGCUAGAGUACGGCAGAGGGGGAUGGAAUUCCGCGUGUAGCAGUGAAAUGCGUAGAUAUGCGGAGGAACACCGAUGGCGAAGGCAAUCCCCUGGGCCUGUACUGACGCUCAUGCACGAAAGCGUGGGGAGCAAACAGGAUUAGAUACCCUGGUAGUCCACGCCCUAAACGAUGUCAACUGGUUGUUGGGUCUUAACUGACUCAGUAACGAAGCUAACGCGUGAAGUUGACCGCCUGGGGAGUACG